rnacentral:rRNA from 1 species
UACGGAGGGUGCAAGCGUUAUCCGGAUUCACUGGGUUUAAAGGGUGCGUAGGUGGGCAGGUAAGUCAGUGGUGAAAUCUCCGGGCUUAACCCGGAAACUGCCAUUGAUACUAUCAGUCUUGAAUACCGUGGAGGUAAGCGGAAUAUGUCAUGUAGCGGUGAAAUGCUUAGAUAUGACAUAGAACACCAAUUGCGAAGGCAGCUUACUAGCCGAAUAUUGACACUGAGGCACGAAAGCGUGGGGAUCAAACAGG